GAUGAACGCUGGCGGCGUGCUUAACACAUGCAAGUCGAACGAUGAAGCCCAGCUUGCUGGGUGGAUUAGUGGCGAACGGGUGAGUAACACGUGAGCAACCUGCCCCUGACUCUGGGAUAAGCGCUGGAAACGGCGUCUAAUACUGGAUAUGUCCCGUCACCGCAUGGUGUUCGGGUGGAAAUAUUUUUCGGUUGGGGAUGGGCUCGCGGCCUAUCAGCUUGUUGGUGAGGUAAUGGCUCACCAAGGCGUCGACGAGUAGCCGGCCUGAGAGGGUGACCGGCCACACUGGGACUGAGACAAGGCACAGACUACUCCGGGAGGAAGCAGUGGGGAAUAUUGCACAAUGGGCGGAAGCCUGAUGCAGAAACGCCGCGUGAGGGAUGACGGCCUUCGGGUUGUAAACCUAUUUUAGCAGGGAAGAAGCGAAAGUGACGGUACCUGCAGAAAAAGCACGGGCUAACUACGUG
rnacentral:rRNA from 1 species